GCCACUUCUCUGCAACUUUUUUUAUGGCUGUGGAUAGAAGCUUCUCACCUACUGGUUGCGCAAGGGCUAUUUACCAACUGCUCCAUUUGAAUGUCACACAAGCCCCUGAUUUUUGUAGCAUUCUUGACAGGGAUUAGUAACUAUGGGAUUUACCUCCAAAUUUUAAUGUUUUGAUUUCAAGCGACUAUAGGGCAUUCGAUUAAGUUCUUUUGCAGCAAAACUGCGGAAAUUUUCCACGACUCAAAAAAAUAAAUAUCUGGAUCCUGCCUUCAAUCUCCACCACAAAUUUCUCCUCUUCUGAAUAAGAAUCUUCGUCUACCUUGCACUCUAUAUCUGGUUAUUACCAGCUUUUCCAGUGACUCAGGCACUGCAAGAAGAAAAGUGAUUUGUCUUUUAAUUGCUUAUUGAGAUGCUCGAGGGAAAAGCAGUGGUGCGUGAGACAGACAUGCCGGAGGCAAUGCAGAACCAUUGCUUGGAGUUAGCUUACCAAGCUCUCGAUCUGCAUGAAGUUUGUGACCGUCAAGCCAUUGCUCACUACAUUAAACAGGUUCAUCUUAAACCCUUUGUAUUCGAUUUUAUCCAUGCAGUGGAAAUCAAGUAUAUGUGCCACCCGUUUUGAUUAAAAGUAAAUAGAUCUUCCUUCACUCCGAUACAAGAUUAAGCUCUAAUAAUUGUACAUCUUCCUUCAGUUGCUCAUUGGUUUGAUAAUUGUGACUUGUCAAUUGAAAAUAUAUAUGCAAUAAUAUGUAUGGAGCAAAAAAAAAAAAGAAAGGGAAGAAAACAACAGUGAAGAGGGGAAAGAAGAAGAACCAGGCAUAGAAUGACUGCAGCCCAAAAGGCCAGAUAGGUAUGUAGACAUCUAAUUUCUUGUUGUAGGCAGUACCUGAAGGAGAGAUCCGCAACCUCUAUUGUUGCAAUUGAAAGUGGUUCCUUGAGAAAAGAGAACCAAGUAAUUCCAAAAGAACUCAUCACUUGAAGUUGCCUCAGAGGAAAAUGUGAUCUGCGUCUUUGCAUCAAUUGGCUGUAUAAGUUUCGAAAAAUUAUACAAAGUCUAGGCAUGGACGGAGCUGCAUAGUUGUAAACAAGGAUUUACGUGACCAGUUGCAAGUGGUUGAUCGAGACAAAGCUUGAUCAAGUUGCUUAAUGACUCCUUGAGGGCUGCAUAAAACCAGCUCUAUUCACAUCCCGGACUUGGCCAAGGGCCAUGAUGAUCAUUUACAUGUUAGAUUUCAGAGACGAUGGAUGUGCCUUUGGGCUACGAUCCAGGGUAUGAUGACGGAUCGUCUUUUAACAAUCAUGUGAUUUGUGAAAGAACUAUCAUUGAUCAAUUUGGGCACCAACAUGCAAAUAGGAACUAUUAUGUUCAGAAUUCAUGCAGCAACCAAGUAGGUCAUGGGAAGUGCUCAUUUUUAGUAUCAAUAGAUCCUGCAUGUCCUUGAACAUAGGGCAGACUGUUGAUUACCUUGGAAGAAAAUAUACAAGCAAAGAACUAGAAAAUUCCUUCUUCGAGUCAUAUGCAUAUAGUCAUAGAACACUAGCACUAACACCAUGUGUAUUCUAGUAUGAUGGUGUCUAUCAAGUUUCUGCUAAAAUUCAGACUUUCUGAGUUAAUAAAUUCCUGCUUGUUUUGAAUGAGACAGAAAUUUGACGAAGCUUAUGGUCCAGCCUGGCACUGUGUAGUUGGCGUAGACUUUGGGUCUUGCAUUACACAUCUGUGUGGAAAUUUCAUCUUUUUCCGAGUGGAGACUAUGGAGUUCCUUGUCUUCAAGGACGGCAAGGACUUGACUGAAAGCAAGGAAGAGGCAAUUGGAGUACUGCAGGGAGCCUGAAAAGUUGAUUCAUGAGAUCCAUGUGCAAGCAUAAAACACCACUUCUGCCAUCACAAAGUGUUAGAAAUUGUCGCUCAAAAUCAUCAAGGCUCAUUUAUUGUUGCAAAAUAACUUGAGGAUGCAGUUAUAUUUCUUUUAGCAGUGAAAAGAUCUUUGGAGCUGAUUAAAAAACCUCAUCACAAAUAUUUGGAGUGUGGCUAAUUCAAUCCAUUUUUGUCAUUCUUCCUUUCUAGAGUCGUAGCUUGUGUUGGAACCUGGGCUCCAAGUCAACACAAGUGCAGCCCUCUCCCGCUGUUUGGCAAAAUAUAUCAGAGUUCAUCCAUGUAAAGCUGUCCCAUGGUUAAGCUGGUGGUCCGAAUAAUUAAAUAUCUGAAUUGGAAUGAUC